rnacentral:rRNA from 1 species
AGAGUUUGAUCAUGGCUCAGGAUGAACGCUAGCUACAGGCUUAACACAUGCAAGUCGAGGGGAAACGACAUCGAAAGCUUGCUUUUGAUGGGCGUCGACCGGCGCACGGGUGAGUAACGCGUAUGCAACCUGCCCGAUACCGGGGUAUAGCCCAUGGAAACGUGGAUUAACACCCCAUAGUACUUUUAUCCUGCCUGGGAUGGGAGUUAAAUGUUCAAGGUAUCGGAUGGGCAUGCGUCCUAUUAGUUAGUUGGCGGGGUAACAGCCCACCAAGACGAUGAUAGGUAGGGGUUCUGAGAGGAAGGUCCCCCACAUUGGAACUGAGACACGGUCCAAACUCCUACGGGAGGCAGCA